UACGGGGGGGGCAAGCGUUGUUCGGAAUUACUGGGCGUAAAGGGCUCGUAGGCGGCCAACUAAGUCAGACGUGAAAUCCCUCGGCUUAACCGGGGAACUGCGUCUGAUACUGGAUGGCUUGAGUUUGGGAGAGGGAUGCGGAAUUCCAGGUGUAGCGGUGAAAUGCGUAGAUAUCUGGAGGAACACCGGUGGCGAAGGCGGGUCUCUGGGCCGAUACUGACGCUGAGGAGCGAAAGCAUGGGGAGCGAACAGG
rnacentral:rRNA from 1 species